CCCCUAGAUGUUCUGGGCCGUACGCGCGCUACACUGAACAGUUCAACAAGUCUUAACCUUGGCCGAUAGGUCUGGGUAAUCUUUGAACGCUGUUCGUGAUUGGGAUAGACCUUUGCAAUUAUGGGUCUUCAACGAGGAAUUCCUAGUAAACGCAAGUCAUCAGCUUGCAUUGAUUACGUCCCUGCCCUUUGUACACACCGCCCGUCGCACCUACCGAUUGAAUGGUCCGGUGAAAUCUCGGGACGGCGGCUUGGUCGCUUGCGUCCGACUGCUGAAACUUGAUUAAACCAUAUCAUUUAGAGGAAGGUGAAGUCGUAACA
rnacentral:rRNA from 1 species